rnacentral:sRNA from 1 species
UGACCGCCGUGACAAAGUCGCGCACGAG